GUGUGUGUCUGUUAGUGUGUGUAUGUUAGUGUGUGUGUGUGGAUGUCUGUUAGUGUGUCUGUUAGUGUGUGUAUGUUAGUGUGUGUAUGUUAGUGUUUGUGUCUGUUAGUGUGUAUGUUAGUGUUUGUGUCUGUUAGUGUGUGUUAGUGUGUGUAUGUUAGUGUGUGUGUGUGUGGAUGUCUGUUAGUGUGUGUAUGUUAGUGUGUAUGUUAGUGUGUCUGUUAGUGUGUGUCUAUUAGUUGUGUCUGUUAGUGUUUGUGUCUGUUAGUGUGUGUAUGUUAGUGUGUGUGUGUGGAUGUCUGUUAGUGUGUCUGUUAGUGUGUGUCUGUUAGUGUGUGUAUGUUAGUGUGUGUAUGUUAGUGUUUGUGUCUGUUAGUGUGUAUGUUAGUGUUUGUGUCUGUUAGUGUGUAUGUUAGUGUUA